rnacentral:rRNA from 1 species
AUUGAACGCUGGCGGCAUGCCUUACACAUGCAAGUCGAACGGUAGCGGGCCUUCGGGUGCCGACGAGUGGCGAACGGGUGAGUAAUGUAUCGGAACGUACCUUUCAGUGGGGGAUAACGUAGCGAAAGUUACGCUAAUACCGCAUAUUCUGUGCGCAGGAAAGCAGGGGACCUUCGGGCCUUGCGCUGAUUGAGCGGCCGAUAUCAGAUUAGCUAGUUGGUGAGGUAAAGGCUCACCAAGGCAACGAUCUGUAGCGGGUCUGAGAGGAUGAUCCGCCACACUGGAACUGAGACACGGUCCAGACUCCUACGGGAGGCAGCAGUGGGGAAUUUUGGACAAUGGGGGCAACCCUGAUCCAGCCAUGCCGCGUGAGUGAAGAAGGCCUUCGGGUUGUAAAGCUCUUUCGGCCGGGAAGAAAUCGUAUCAGCUAAUACCUGGUGCGGAUGACGGUACCGGCAUAAGAAGCACCGGCUAACUACGUGCCAGCCGCCGCCGUAAAAC